CCGUGUACGUACAAGCAGUGGGAGCACAGGUUUACCUGUGUGACUGCGUACCUUUUGUAUAAUGGGUCAGCGACUUAUAUUCUGUAGCAAGGUUAACCGAAUAGGGGAGCCGGAGGGAAACCGAGUCUUAAUUGGGCGUUAAGUUGCAGGGUAUAGACCCGAAACCCGGUGAUCUAGCCAUGGGCAGGUUGAAGGUUGGGUAACACUAACUGGAGGACCGAACCGACUAAUGUUGAAAAAUUAGCGGAUGACCUGUGGCUGGGGGUGAAAGGCCAAUCAAACCGGGAGAUAGCUGGUUCUCCCCGAAAGCUAUUUAGGUAGCGCCUCGUGAAUUCAUCUCCGGGGGUAGAGCACUGUUUCGGCUAGGGGGCCAUCCCGGCUUACCAACCCGAUGCAAACUGCGAAUACCGGAGAAUGUUAUCACGGGAGACACACGGCGGGUGCUAACGUCCGUCGUGAAGAGGGAAACAACCCAGACCGCCAGCUAAGGUCCCAAAGUCAUGGUUAAGUGGGAAACGAUGUGGGAAGGCCCAGACAGCCAGGAUGUUGGCUUAGAAGCAGCCAUCAUUUAAAGAAAGCGUAAUAGCUCACUGGUCGAGUCGGCCUGCGCGGAAGAUGUAACGGGGCUAAACCAU
rnacentral:rRNA from 2 species